rnacentral:rRNA from 1 species
UGGGGAAUUGUUCGCAAUGGGCGCAAGCCUGACGACGCAACGCCGCGUGGAGGACGAAGAUCUUCGGGUCGUAAACUCCUGUCGAGCGGGACGAAUGGCCCGCGGGUGAAUAAUCCGCGGGAGUGACGGUACCGCGAGAGGAAGCCCCGGCUAACUCCGUGCCAGCAGCCGCGGUAAUACGGGGGGGGCUAGCGUUGUUCGGAAUUACUGGGCGUAAAGGGCUCGUAGGUGGCCGAUGCAGUCAGACGUGAAAUCCCUCGGCUCAACCGGGGAAUGGCGUCUGAUACUCGUUGGCUUGAAUCCGGGAGAGGGACGCGGAAUUCCAGGUGUAGCGGUGAAAUGCGUAGAUAUCUGGAGGAACACCGGUGGCGAAGGCGGCGUCCUGGACCGGUAUUGACACUGAGGAGCGAAAGCCAGGGGAGCAAACGG